UACGUAGGGCGCAAGCGUUAUCCGGAAUUAUUGGGCGUAAAGAGCUCGUAGGCGGCUCGUUGCGUCAGCUGUGAAAACCCGCAGCUCAACUGUGGGCCUGCAGCUGAUACGGGCGGGCUGGAGUUCGGUAGGGGAGACUGGAAUUCCUGGUGUAGCGGUGAAAUGCGCAGAUAUCAGGAGGAACACCGGUGGCGAAGGCGGGUCUCUGGGCCGAUACUGACGCUGAGGAGCGAAAGCGUGGGGAGCGAACAGG
rnacentral:rRNA from 1 species